rnacentral:misc_RNA from 2 species
UAAUCUCACUCCGACGACUUUGUUGUUGUCUGGAGGUGGACCUGGACUCUUGCCGUGUUACAGCGGCUGGUCUGAAAUGCAUGAGUGCACCCUGCUGUUGCAGCGUCUUCAGUGUGAUAAGUAUCUUCACUGAGUAAGUUCCCUUUAGGACACGCCUUGCCGGUGGGCUCUGUGCUUCUAACCGUCUUGUAUUGGACAAUCUUUGACA